GGCCCUAUCGUCUAGUGGUUAGGACACCAGGUUCUCAUCCUGGUAACCGGGGUUCGAUUCCCCGUAGGGUCACCA
rnacentral:tRNA from 1 species